AGGAGCAACAGCCCCAGUGGCGGGGCCGCUCUGGAAACCUGGAUUCAGCCCCCGCAGGAACUCCGGAGCUCUCGGUCUGCAGGGCCUGGAGGCUCCGGGGCGGG
rnacentral:pre_miRNA from 1 species